AUGACGCUGGCGGCAGGCUAACACAUGCAGUCCAACGGUACAGGAUGUGCUUGCACAUCGCUGACGAGUGGCGGACGGGUGAGUAAUGCUUAGGGAUCUGCCUCUGUGUGGGGGAUAACUAUUGGAAACGAUAGCUAAUACCGCAUAAUGUUUACGGACCAAAGGGGGCGUUUGCUCCCGCGCAGAGAGGAACCUAAGUGAGAUUAGCUAGUUGGUAAGGUAAUGGCUUACCAAGGCGACGAUCUCUAGCUGUUCUGAGAGGAAGAUCAGCCACACUGGGACUGAGACACGGCCCAGACUCCUACGGGAGGCAGCAGUGGGGAAUAUUGCACAAUGGGGGGAACCCUGAUGCAGCCAUGCCGCGUGUGUGAAGAAGGCCUUCGGGUUGUAAAGCACUUUCAGUUGUGAGGAAAGGUUAGUAGUUAAUACCUGCUAGCUGUGACGUUAGCAACAGAAGAAGCACCGGCUAACUCCGUGCCAGCAGCCGCGGUAAUACGGAGGGUGCGAGCGUUAAUCGGAAUUACUUGGGCGUAAAGCGCACGCAGGCGGUUUGUUAAGCUAGAUGUGAAAGCCCCGAGCUCAACUUGGGAUGGUCAUUUAGAACUGGCAGACUAGAGUCUUGGAGAGGGGAGUGGAAUUUCUAGUGUUACGGUGAAAUGCGUAAUUUUAAGAAGGAACCAUCAG
rnacentral:rRNA from 1 species